AGUUUUAAUAAGCUUUUUGUAUGUGACAUGUUUAUGUUCAUGCGUGCACAUACUGGAGCCAGAGGUUGCAAUCAGUUUUCCUUUGUUGCUUUUAUUUUGUGUGCAUGUAUGCAUAUGUAUAUAGUCAUAUGCAUGACCUGGCAUGCACUUGGAUGUUAGAGGAUAACUUGGGGCAAGAGUUAUUCUUUCCUGUUCCACCAUGACACUUUACCAACAGAACCAUCUCCUAUACCCUUCAGCAGGUUUUAAAUACUUGACACAACUUCAAAAGUGUGCCCUUGUUGUGUGACCUCAGAACCUUUCUCUGAGGGCUGAAAGCUAACUUGUCCUAGUGCCAGUGGUUCAAUAUGGCUCUGAUCCUGUUGUCUGGCUGGAGAUGUGAAAACAGGCAGUGGCAUCACCUUUAGUGAGUACUACAAUACAGCUGCAAGUCCACUGCUCUUCUAUUUAAAAUCCAGAAACACACGUUUGCCAUUUUCUUGGUUUUAUGCUUUGGAUAAGAGGCCUUGGAAAAUGACUUAGCAGUGAUGAACACUGGCUGCUCUUCAGAAGACCUCAGCUUAUAUCCCAGUUCCCAAGAGAUUCUGAUGCUCUCUUGCGGCUUCUUGGGGUACUACAACACAACACACAUACAGGCAAACCACCCAUUCAAUUAAAAUCUUG
rnacentral:lncRNA from 1 species